GUUUCCAUAGUGUAGUGGUUAUCACAUUGACUUUUUCACCGAAAAGGUCACCAGUUCAAAACUGGGUGGAAACA
rnacentral:tRNA from 1 species